AUCCUAGUGCAUGGGUCUUUUCCUGCUCUGUGAAGCAAUAAGCUGAGAGAGGAAUUAUGCUUAUUGAAAAUUUCUUAUUCUUUCAUUAAAGCGACCAACUCCAUACUGGGUGCGCCUGGUAUGGGAAUUUUUGGAACCUUUUUUACUG
rnacentral:snRNA from 22 species